CUACGGGUUGCUCCAGUUAGGAAUAUUCUGCAAUGCGCGCAAGCGUGACAGAUUGAGCCAGAGUGCUUUUCAAUUGAAAAGCUUUUGUCAAAUGUAAAAAGUUUGGUGAAUAAGGACUGGGUAAGACAGGUGCCACGCCGCCGCGGUAAUACCUGCGGUCCAAGUCGCAGCCAUUUUUAUUGGGUCUAAAACAUCCGUAGCUUGUUUGAUAAGUUUCUUGUGAAAUUCUAUAUCUCAAAUAUAGAGCGGGCAAGAAGUACUGUCAAGCUAGAGACUGGAAGACGUAAGAAGUACGUUUGGAGUAACGGUAAAAUGUGUUAAUCCCAGACGGACUAACAAUAGCGAAGGCAUCUUACGAGGACAGUUCUGACAGUAAGGGAUGAAGGCUAGGGGCGCAAAACGGAUUAGAUACCCGAGUAGUC
rnacentral:rRNA from 1 species